GCUAAAAAUCUACAGUUUGCAGAAUUUUGAUUCUUAGCUCUCGAAAACCUUCCAUAACACUCUUUUACUCAUUUUAACACCUUCGGACUUUCCGAAGUGUACCGUCCUCGCACUUUAGUCAAUUUUACUAAAGUUCGAUAUUUAUUUUUCGAAUUCUCGGUAUAUAACAUUCUCCACCCCUUAAAAUAAUUUCGUCCACGAAAUUACGCAUACCUUAACUCGUUGACUCAAAUAGGUGCAGAUACUCUCUCCGCAUGAUCUCCUCGAGCUCCCAAGUGGCUUCUCGCACAGCAUGGUUGCUCCAUUGGACCUUCACAUAUGAGAUCUUGCGACUUCGCAACUUCUUCACUUCUCUAUCGAGGAUGCACACCGGGUACUCCUCAUAGGACAUAUGUCACGCCUCGCGACCGCCUAUUUGGUCGGUUUCGGGCACGCCGACAGACAGCCAAACGGACAGGGUUUCCCCUGUACUGCGGACAGAGUCUCCCCUGUACGUUCAAGGCAUAGCAAUCAAUACAAUGUGCGAAGUUCCAACCAGGAACACAUUUCAAUCAAGAUUGCAUAAUGGAAGGUAUCAAACAACAUAAACACAUCCUAUAUUAUUACAUUCAUUCAUAUUCAUGCAUUUUACACCUCAACUACCAUUCCUUUUUCAUCCAAAUGCAAUCUAAAUUAUUACAACAUUUAUAUCUUUAAUACAUCAUGUUACAUUGUGUUCUUUUCAUUUCUUUAACCCCUAAGCUAUGUCGACGGGGUACUGCUAGCUCUGGUCUCUGGGAUAGGGCGCUAUCUACGGAGCUACGCCCUUUCCUCCCGCCGCCGCGCCGCUCACGUGCGAACCUGUAAACACCCCAAAACCACGUGGGGUGAGAACCAACUCCAUGGUUCCCAGUGGGUACGGCCACCCAAGGGAAAAGCUCGACCAAUAGGUCCAAGGGAGGCAACUGCAAGUUAGUUCAAUAAACAGAUAGAUAUAUAUCUUGAUUAUGCAACGAAUAAAACCAUGCAUUGCCUCACGAAUGCAAUAAUGCAAUGCUAUAUGCAAAUCAUGCAAUAAUGCAACUAUGCAACCAACUAGUAGUUCAUUCGAUACUACUUUCAAUUCUGCUAACCAUAGCUCAUCCAUUUGAUAUCUAAGGUUUCCUCUAUCUUAGAUUCUUGUCAAUCACCGUUUUAAUCAUAAAGUUUCAUCUACCUUUACAAGGCUAACCACCCGACUCGGUCUUGAGUCAAUCGUCUGCGGAGUACCGCACUAGAACCAGGCUCGAGGCGAUGGACGUCUCACAUACACCUCAGCCCUAAAUCCUCUCGACUGGGAUACCAAAUCCAUAACUCAUAAUGCAUACUUGUUGUACAUUCAUUUGGCUAUGACCCAAUCUUACCGGUUAACCAUGUUAACCCCAAUAACUCACAACCAAAAUCCCUUAAUAACGGGGGACUCGAACCUCCCUGGGGACCGUCAUCUGGGGGGACUUUACCACGCCCAGUGGUGACCAACUCCGGAGCGCACCGCCCGAGGGGGAGCUACCUCCCUCAAGCCAAGACGUAACGUGAGUAUCGAUCCAAUCCUCAACUUGAGGAUUCAUAGCCACUCGUCACAAUGCCAUUGUCAUAAUAGGUUUUCUACCUAUUUAAUCAUGCCACUCUCUAUGUCAACUUGGACCAAUGUCAAUAUGGUUAAACUAUGUUUAACAACCACUUUCUUGAUGCCAAUCAUGUCUCUAUUUUCAUUGUCACCCUUGUUUACUAUUGUCCAAGUCCGACUUAUGUUCUUUAACAAUAGGUUUAAUGCCACACAUGAUUCCAACCUAAGUUCUUUGACACUAGGUUCAUGUCCAACCUAUGUUUAUUCACACUAGGUUCAUAUCAUCCAUGUUCAACCUAGGUUCCUGACUCUAGGUUAAGUGCCACUCGAUCUAAUAUAUAGAUGUCCAAUGUCAAGGUCUCUAUCAUAGAGUUAUCGAUCCAAUUCAUGCAAUCAUCUAGCAUUUACAUAGCAUAUUCAUCAUGCAUUCUACGAUAAUUAUUAUAUAGCAACCAUACCAAGCAUUUGCCUAGCUUUUACAUCAUGUCAUUUACAUGCAUUCUUUUAGUGUUAACUACAUACAUCAUCUCAAUGCCAACAUACAUUACAACUAGCAUGUACUUUCCCAAUGCAUUAUUAUGCAAUUAUCCUGUAGUAUGCAUUUUCAUAAUGUCAAUAUGCUUAUUGUCAUCUAACAUGUGUCCACAUUUAGCAAUUUCUCAUAACUCAUAUAAUUAACAACAUGUUAACAUUCAUUUAUAUGUUCACGUUCUCUAAUACAUGUCAACAUGAAUCUCAUAAUGCUAAAUGCUCCUAGCAUGUAUUUCACUAAGCAUACAUACUAAUAUGCAAAUUACCAACUAGCAUGCAUUUAUACAAUGCUGAUAUGCUCGUAUGCAC
rnacentral:lncRNA from 1 species